UGAUCUGAACCGUGAGAUUUGUGAUCCAUUGAACCACUAACUACACUAGCUCUCUGUGUCUGCUUGAUCAAUUAAUUAAUUUGUAUCAGUAUUUUAAUCCAUCAGGCAAAGGAAUUGGAGACGACAUGGCCGCAAACAACAUUGUUCAGAUGAGGUCAAGGGUGUUUGCUGCAGGGUGACGGCACACACUGGGUGACUGGAGCCCACUGUGUCCAGGAAAAGGAACACGGAUAGAAGAGCCGCAGGGAAUUAGACACGACACCGCUCUCAAUGACGUGCACAUGUUAUGCUGCAAUUAAGGUGUAAGAGGACAACAGCAAGAG